UUCACGGAGAGUUUGAUCCUGGCUCAGGACGAACGCUGGCGGCGUGCUUAACACAUGCAAGUCGAACGGUGAAGCCCUUCGGGGUGGAUCAGUGGCGAACGGGUGAGUAACACGUGGGAAAUCUGCCCUGCACUCUGGGACAAGCCUUGGAAACGAGGUCUAAUACCGGAUAUGACCUUCCUCUGCAUGGGGGUUGGUGGAAAGCUCCGGCGGUGCAGGAUGAUCCCGCGGCCUAUCAGCUUGUUGGUGGGGUAAUGGCCUACCAAGGCGACGACGGGUAGCCGGCCUGAGAGGGCGACCGGCCACACUGGGACUGAGACACGGCCCAGACUCCUACGGGAGGCAGCAGUGGGGAAUAUUGCACAAUGG
rnacentral:ncRNA from 1 species